rnacentral:rRNA from 1 species
AACGCGAAGAACCUUACCUGGACUCGAAAUCUGGUUGACAGUCUCAGAGAUGAGAUCUUCCCGCAAGGGACGGCUGGAUAGGUGCUGCAUGGCUGUCGUCAGCUCGUGUCGUGAGAUGUUGGGUUAAGUCCCGCAACGAGCGCAACCCUCACCCUUUGUUGCUAACCCGCAAGGGAAGCACCCGAAGGGAACUGCCUCGGAUAACGGGGAGGAAGGUGGGGAUGACGUCAAGUCCUCAUGGCCUUUAUGCCCAGGGCUACACACGUGCUACAAUGGCCGGUACAAAGCGUCGCGAACCCGCGAGGGGGAGCCAAUCGCAAAAAACCGGUCCCAGUUCGGAUUGCAGUCUGCAACUCGACUGCAUGAAGCUGGAAUCGCUAGUAAUCGCGGAUCAGAACGCCGCGGUGAAUACGUUCCCGGGCCUUGUACACACCGACUGUAC